GGUACAAUGGAUGAUUCCAAAAAACAGAGAGGUUUUAUUCGUGGUACCAUAUAGCAUUUCAUCUCGAUCGGGAUUAUUGCAGGCGCACGCCGCAAUCACUCACGCACAGCAGAAAUGAAUCCACAUGUAGUACUCGAUCCACAAACCAUCAUACAUACACGAGCCGCACGACCUGCUCCGACCAUGGCUACAUCGCCUGCGCAGCACCAGCGCCAGAGGAAGGAGACGACGACGAGGUGGAGGUGGAGGAGGCGAGGCGCGGGCAGCGGUUGAAGCCGUACCAGACGUUGUUGGGGAGCGGGUCGCCGUAGCGGAAGGUGGAGGGCGCGCUGGGGGCGGUGGGCUCGUACACCCUCACCCACUCGGGCGUCCACCCGGUGCGGCCGGCGCGGCGGAGGUAGAGGUAGCAGACGCCGUACCCGCAGGGCCCGCCGAUCUUGAACGUGUCGGUGGCGCACCGGUCGAACGCGCCGGCGGCGCCGCCCAGCCGCGC
rnacentral:lncRNA from 1 species